rnacentral:SRP_RNA from 1 species
GCUGGGCAUGGUGACAUGUCCUGUAGUCCCAGCUACUCCAGAUGCAGAGGUGGGAGGAUCAUUGGAUCCUAGGAGUUCUGCACUGUAGUUCACUAUACAUACCUGGUGUCUGUACUAAGUUUGGCAUUAAUACGGUCACCUCCAGAGAGCAGGGGACUUCCAGGUUACCUAAGGAGGAAUGAGCCAGCCCAGGUUGAAAACAGAACAGGUCAAAACUCUCAUACUGAUCAGUAGUGAGAUUAAGCCUGUGAAUAGCCACUAUACUCCAGACUGGGCAACAUAGUCAGACCCUGUCUCU